GUUUUGUUUAUAAUUAGUGAAGAGAUGAAAAUAAUAAGACUGUAUGGUGCAGAAAGUGUCUUUUUCAUUACAGUUUCUGCUGCUGGGCAAGCGGUAGAUCACUAUAUGCCUUCUGUACCGUGAAAUGAAGCUUAUGAUAAAUAAAAUACUGCUGCUUGCUGUUCACUGAUUCAAGGUCGUUCAGUGGCUACCAUUGGCCAAUCUCACCAACGGGAUAUAAUAAGAACUGAUGAAGGUUUAUAUCUAUAUAUGUCAACUUUGGAAGUAGUGCGCUGGAUUCGCCCAAAGAUAUGCUAAACAACGCAUCAAUUAGUUUGACAGAAAAAAAUCGGUUCGAAGGUCCAGGAUUCUAAUUUGGUGUUACGCCGACAAUGUGUGUUCAAAAAUUCUUCUUCUUCUCUAUUAGCAACAGUUACGGCGUGUUUGGCGAGUAUAGCGGGCUGCGUCACUUUCAGCGUUUAUGCACCCGUAGCCAAGUAACAGCAAUGCAAGUUAAAAUGAGUUAAAAUUAAGUUUUAACUGAAUUAAAAUUAAUUUGAAAA